AGUUCUGCUGCACCCAACACCACCCACCACCACCGCCGUCGCCAUCAGCACAUCUGCGCUGCCACUACCGUCACCCGCGAAACGACCCUCCCCGACCUCGUUCGACGCUCCCAAACGUGAAAGACGUUGGCCAAGUGCAUACAAAUCCACGGGAACCACAAUCAGUCGCAGUUACAGUCAAACCGAAUUUUGUUAAUACAUCAGCGUCUGCAACAACUACCAAAACAACAACAACCACAGAGCAAUAAAACCAGAGACCGCAGUUGAGUUCUCUCAGUUUUUUUUGGGGGUCUGCGAUGGGCAAGAAAGACAAGAACAAGGAACCGGCGGACGCUGCACCAGCUGGCGAUGCACCACCUGCUGGACCCCCAGCAGGCGAGGGAGGCGAUGGCGAGAUUGUGGGCGGACCACACAAUCCGCAGCAGAUUGCGGCACAGAAGCGUCUCCAGCAGACGCAGGCGCAGGUUGAUGAGGUCGUCGACAUCAUGCGCACAAACGUCGAGAAGGUGCUGGAGCGCGAUAGCAAGCUGUCGGAGUUGGACGAUCGUGCCGAUGCCUUGCAGCAGGGUGCCUCGCAGUUCGAGCAGCAGGCGGGCAAGCUUAAGAGGAAAUUCUGGCUCCAGAACUUGAAGAUGAUGAUCAUAAUGGGCGUGAUCGGCCUGGUUGUCGUGGGCAUCAUUGCAAAACCGUACAUGUCGGAUGAUGCUGCUGCUCCGCCACCUCCUGCUUUGCAGCAGCAGGUGGUUCCGGCACCAGCAUCCGCACCAGCAUCUGCACCAGAAUCAGCACUACCACAACAACAACAACAACUACUACAACAACAACAACACCAUACACAAAAAUCUGAACCACCAACACUCGAGAAACCAUUGGCUGAGAAAUUGACCGACAACCCACAGAGUCCGUCGGAUUAAGUGGCGACUGGACAAUAGGACGAUCUCUCUUAAAACCAACUUGAAAACAACAACAACAAAAAAACAGCAACAACUGCAACAAACUAAUCAACCAAUCAAUCAAUCAAUCAACCCAUCGAUUAACCAACAACAACUACAUUUAUAGAAACUAUAAUCAAAAUUAGCUGAAAACAAACAAAAAAGAAACAAGCAAAAAGCAAAAACCAUUUCACCACCACCUUCUUUGUAGUAUUUUCGAACACUAUAAACUAGGACUCAUAGGCGGAGAGCAGCCACCGCAGUAUCCUCAGUAUCCACAGUACAUGCCGCCACCGCCGCCACAGCAGCAGCAGC